rnacentral:rRNA from 1 species
CGGGAAUUUUGGGCAAUGGGCGAAAGCCUGACCCAGCAACGCCGCGUGAGGGAUGAAGUAUUUCGGUAUGUAAACCUCGAAAGAAUGGGAAGAAUAAAUGACGGUACCAUUUAUAAGCUCCGGCUAACUACGUGCCAGCAGCCGCGGUAAUACGUAGGGAGCAAGCGUUGUUCGGAUUUACUGGGCGUAAAGGGCGCGUAGGCGGCGCGGUAAGUCACUUGUGAAAUCUCUGAGCUUAACUCAGAACGGCCAAGUGAUACUGCUGUCCUAGAGGGCGGAAGAGGCAACCGGAAUUCUUGGUGUAGCGGUGAAAUGCGUAGAUAUCAAGAGGAACACCUGAGGCGAAGGCGGGUUGCUGGGCCGACACUGACGCUGAUGCGCGAAAGCCAGGGGAGCAAACG